CUAUACAAAAAAGCACAAAGUAUGUGCUUCACAAGGGACUGGGUUGGGAGAAUAAGAAGUGCCAAUUCCUGGACCCUGGCCCAGCCCUGAGGAUGGGCAUCUGACUGAGCCCUUUGCAGAGUGAGGCUGCAAGCAGAAGCUGAAGGAGCCGUUUUUCUCAAGGGCCCUGUGGAUGUGGAGAAGCCUGCAGGGAUGCUUGGGGGUUCAGAUGACUGCAUGGCACAGAGCCUCCCACAGCUCUGAAGAGCAGUAAGCCAGGUACUGGACAACUAAGCACUGCAGAAAGACCCAGUUGGUCUGGUCCCUCAGGGCAGCAGCUCUGGGGGGCACCGCCACAGCUUUUCACUGUGGAGAUCAGCAGCAGCAGCUAUGGCAGCAUCCUGACCUCACAGGCCUUCCUGCCUUGCAUGGAGGAGCCAGGCAGGAGAGGAGCAAGACCUGUAGAAGCCUGGGUGAUAGAAGACUACUUGUGAGCUGGUGUGAGUCACGCUCAGCAAAGGGGGAAGAAGCAGUAAAAUGGGGUUAGAAUCAUUCCUGGGACUCUGUUUGUAACCAAGGGUUCUAGGGAAGACUGGUUACAGAAGUGAUCUUGGUGUUGAGCACUUAAAGGCCCAAGAUGGACCGGUUCUAUGAAGGUCGGCAGCAUGAGUAUGGUGUCACGACUCAGACAGGAUGAGAGUCAUCAUUGGAUCCCUGGGCCUCUCACCCAGGACCCCAGGUGCCUACCUUUGAAGCUUUCAUCUUCACUCCUGACUGACUGAUUGGGGCUCCAUUGGUGAGCCCGACUCCUGAUCCAAUCCAGGCCUCCAGAUGACAGUCUGUUGAAGAAUGGGCAGCACAGAUUGUGAUUCUUGAGAUUCUGAGUAUACUCUUGAAGCUGGGUUAGUGUCCUAGGCUUCUCUGCUUGUAAGAACUGGGCUAUAAUCCCAGGCAAACAAAAGGCUGGGUUGGAAUCUCAGGUUUCUCUGUAAGAAAGAGGCUGAGUUAGAUUCCCAGGCUUUCCUGUUUUAAGACAUAGAGUUGGGAUUAGAGUGCCAGGCUCCAUUGUUUGUGAGGUAUCAUGAGUUAUGAACAUGGCAGCUUCUCAGUUGACUGAACCUCACCCCAACCUCCUUCUGAAACCCCUGCUGACUAUGUGCUCCACCACCUAGGCACUAACUCUGUCUGCUUCCCUUCUUGUUGAUAUGAUCUUACAAAGGAUAAUUUGGGACUUCCCUAAAGUGGCAUCUCUAAGAUCUCUCUCUUCCUUUUGCCUCCAUUCCUCCUUCCAUUUUUGAUAUGCCCUCCUUUAAACCCCCACCUCCUCCACAUUUUUGUUCAGCCCUGCCAGACUUUUCCCUUCCCACUCCAGGCUCUCAACUACCUACACUCACUGGAGCCCCGUUGGAGACUCUAUGGGACUCAAGAGCCUCCAAAAGCAACUACAAUAUCUUAAAAAUGUCCUCCAUAAUAUUGGUAAAAAAUAUUUUUGCUCUCACAUUGGUCAGGUAGCAACUUGUUCCAUUCACCAAAAACACAAUUUGGAUAAAAAAAUUAAAGUGCAGUAAAGACGAGAGCCAACCAUUUCAUAUAAACCAGAGUUCUGUAUUACUGUGUUUACCUGACUCAUGGCUACAAUUUUAAAAUGGAAGCUAUAAGGUCUCCAUUUGCAUCUAUCUGUAUGUUUAUGUAUGUACAUAUGUAUGUUAUGUAUAUGUGAUACUUUCCUAUCUUCUGAUGGUAUUACCCAAUUAAUUUAUAAAACCCUAUAAAGAAGCUCUAUUCUGACAGGCUUAGGGACAAAUUGCUUAUAUCAAUUAAAUAUUUAUAAAGCUCUCAGAAAUAUAGGAAUUAACCCCAAUUUUUUUUAAGUUCAUGUGACUUUGGGAAAUAUUUGUUAGAUAAAACCAGUUUAAAAUUGUUGAUUGAAUAAAACAGCUGUCUUCUGAGUUAUCACAUGUAUUAAAUUCAUGUGAGUGGAAUCAAAAUUUUAUAAAUGAACUUUUUGACAAUAAUUAUGUUUUAUAAUAUCUGCCUAAAAAUGCUUUCCACAAUCUUUUUGGUAACUUGCAAUCUUAAAAUUAUGCUAAGUAAUACAUAUUCAUUAACUAUCUAGAUUAUUUCUAAGUCAGAUAAACCACUGAAAAUUUAUUUUUAAGCAUAAGUUUAAUUUUAUAUACUUUUGGCUUCUUAUUUUUAUAUCAUAUAGAGAGGCUACAUAUAUUUAGGUCUGUUACUAAACAUUCUUUUUGCCACAUUAAAACAAUUGUAUUACGAGGAAGCACAUACCUAUAAAAAUUGUGAGAUGGUAUAUUCAUAAAAUUUGCUGAUCUGCUACAGAAUGUUGGUACUUGACAGACAACUCACAAUUGUCUAUAACCUAGUUUUUUCUGUUACCAAAAAAAGAGGUUACUUAUGGUUAAAAAUUUUAAUCAACAUAUGUAAAUAAAGCUACUAGAACUAAUAAAGAUAAAGGGAAAUGACUUGCAAGCACAAUUUGCAAAGCAGGAAGAAUGUGUUUUUGUAUGGGAAAAAUAAAAAUAACUGUCUUAAAGUGAAA